CGGCAGAGAGCUGCCUGAAAAGGUGUAAUUCCUGGUGAGGAGCUCUUGGAAGGAGGCCACCUACUAGAGGAAGGAGUCAGGGCCAUGCUGAGUUAUGUGAUGCUAGAAGGGACUUGUUUCUCAACCAGCUGAACCAGACUAGGCUCUUUAAGUUUUUCUCAGCUUUUCCUGUUGCAUACUAAGCCCCUUUCCAAACAAGCAGCAAUGGACCUGUAGCUUUUGUGUAAGGACUAGCAGAAUCUACUAUACCUUUUGUGGGCACCUUGACACCAGACUGGAACCUUCUCUGCUCACAGGUGCUGUGUAAUUCCACAGUGUAGUCCUCACCUCAGCUGUAUGGAGGCUUCUCUUGAUCUUCAGGUAUACUGCAGAUCACGCUGCAGAGCACUUCCAAGUAUGAACAAACCUAAACGAAGACAGCUGGCAGAGGCUCUCGUCAUCUAACUCCUUCCAGAUGUGCGGUCAUAUGCUGCAGUUUGUGACUAAUGACAUCCCCCAGGGAAGCCCUGGGGAUGGUGGCAGUGAUGGAGCAGGCACGGGGCAUGCCAGGAACCUGUUGGUGGGCCGACAGCACUGAGUCCCCGGGAGGCUGAUUCCUGGAGACCCUGUCUGGGGAGGGAUCCUCCGCCAUCCCUCUUGUCCCUUUGCCAUCAGCAGGGCUCGGCGGGUGUCUCGGGGCUGUCUCUGACACACCAGGCACCUAGGCAGCUCUCCACGGGUGAGUAAAGCUACAUAAUCCAAGAGCGAUGUCCUAGGGAGAUAGCUACUUCACGGCCUGGAAGCCAGAAAAACCGCACUUAGUAGGGUUGUGCUGGAGCAAAUUAGCAAUGUUUUCUGAUAAUGAGUUGAGGUUGAAGCGUUUAUGCCGCUUCCCGCUUGGGAGCCCAUUCAGGUCUCUCUGCGUGGUGCUUCUCUCUGCCAUGGAGAUGUCUCAGAAAUCAGUCUGGGUGGGAAGAUUUGUGAAUCCUGCUGCCUCCCCCCAGAUAUCUGUCCCGCAUGUCCCUGUUUUAUGUUCCUGCGUGGCCUGGGUUGUAUUAGAGCUGUGUACAGUCUCCAGUGGGUUUAGUUUUCUCACCCCUCUGUGGGAAGGGCUGUGCUAGUUUUAUAAGCUGCGGCCUGGGGGUGCUCAGUGGCUCAGAGAUGGGUCAGGAAUUGGGGUGGACCAGCCCCUCUGACACCAGGUGGGAGACCAUGUGCUCCCAGAGUAUUGUCUCCUUUAUGCUGUCUUUCAGAAACUGCAGCCAACCUGCAUCCAGGCUUGCUGCUUAGGUGGAGAAGUCGCUUUGGUCUUCCCAUAGUCCCUGUUUUCCCCUUCUUCCUGUCCACACCCUUGUAAUUAACCUCUGAACUUCGGCUAAUCCCAGGAUUAGCGCAUCAUGGGCUAUUGGUUAGGGCUCCCACCACCCCUUGUGUGUCCUGGCAUCCCUGACAAAUGUGCAGGGGGGUCCGGAAAGCCAGGUUGCCCUUGAGGAGGGAGGAGGCUCAUAAUGGAUGGGGGAUGCCUGGUGGGUGGUGAGAGCUAAUCUAGGGGUCACUUGUGGCUGAUAAUGAUCUCCUGGAGCCCAGGAGCAGUGCGGAGGGGCACAAAGAGCCCGAGGGGACUGGAGCAGCCACUUCAGCAUCCCUACCUUGGCCCCUUCUGGCCAGGCAGAGUGGGCUGCAGAUGGAAGGGGAAACAUGGUGGGCUUUCAGUGAAAGGUGUAAUUAUCUCCUCUGCCUGCAGGUGAAGGUAAAGGAUUAUCUUGUGGCUUUUGAUGCAGCAUCUCCUCCAGGACCUAGCUAUGCAUAUGUUUUCCCAUUGGAGGGUGUCCUUGGGCAAAGGGAGUACUUGCUCAUGGAGUUUAUUCAAUCUCAGUGCCUGAGAUGCACUCCAGGUUUGUGAAUGAGCUCUCUGCUCCCCUCUCAACCUUCCUCUGCCUUGUCCAGGACUUCCUGGAGGUGCUUUGCAGCUCCCAGGUGACUGAUUUUCCAGGAGAGCCCCAGGCAAAUUUACAUUUAACCUAACAGAGGCAGUGCAGUGACCUCUGUCACUUCACUUCUCCCUCAAGAUGAAAACUCUGGGCUCUGAUGCAGCAUGCAGCAAUACAGUCAAUUUAGCCACGAUAACCGCUUUUUACCUCCAACACAUCCAGCUGUGUAAUGGACCGCAUGGUGGAAAUAACAGAAGUAACGAUAGACUCGUGCUGGGAUUGUGACGUUAAAAGUGUGAGGCUUGGCCCAAAGGAAAACAGACUGGAAGGGAGAGCCUCACUGACAGUGGCCAAGACCUGAAGACCAGAUGCUGGUGCCAGUUUCCCCUUGCUGAGGCAAGUUUGUGCAUGAGGCACCCGAUGCGACAAGCUGUUGCUCUCUGCCCCAGCACCAGCUGUGUUUGCAGGGGGGUGGGCUGCCAGCUGUUUGUUUGAGGAGUGACUCAGGCUGGUGAACCCCGUCAUGGCCAGGCAUAGGAGGACUUGGCUGGAAGGUACCUUUUGCUCCUGGGAGCUAAUCUGGCCCUUCUGCUGGUGAGCACUGUGGGACAGCUAUGUGCAGAGAAAAGGGGCUGGAUGGGCAGGAUCAGUGUGAAGGGCAAUGUGCACUAACUGGACAAAGGAAAGUGGUUUCCAUUCCCAGUGGCCACAGCAUCACCUUGUCUGGGAUGUCCCAGCCAAACACAGUACAAUGGUGGUGGUCCAGCCACAGCUGUGCCUCUGACAUGCAGCAGACUGAGCUCUGGAGGCUCCAGCCACCCACAGUCCAUGGUGGUGUACCUUUCUGAGGUAGUUCUACUCACUGUGGUGGCUUUGCUGCUUCCGUCCCUGAGCUCACCCCUGCCCACAGAGCAGGACCUGGGUAAAACCCCAGGCACUGCUGGGGAAUCCCCACUGCAACGAGGAGAACUGCUGGGAAGAGGCAGUGCCAGCUUCUGUGAAACGCUUUCAUUCAUUGCUGUCCAGGCGAGAACUGAUCUUGGCAGAAGGCAGCCGAGGGGAUGUGUUUCAUUCCCAGCAGAGCCAGCGGGGGCUGGUUUUGAUCAGAAGUGAUCUGGCGCUGGACCUCGGCAUGGCUGAUAUCUGCAACCUGCCGCCCUGAGUGUCGCUUGGCCCUGAGGAGGCUCGCUCAUGUUUGCAUUUGAAAGGGCCUCCUGCGCUCCCUGUGCUCGUGGUUGAACGGCUUCCAAGGCGGCUUCAUUUUCUCCCUUUUUAUCACUGUUAUUAGUUUUUAAUAAAGUUCCCUGAUUAGCUUCUCAGGCUUCAUGGCGGAGGGGCCUGGGAAUUAAUUUCCUCUCCUUGGCCACUCGUAGUGGUUUCCAGGCCAGCUCAGCGCUGCCACGGGGGGGACUCGUCACGGUGGCUCCCUGGGGGACAAAGGGAAGCCCAGGACACCAGCUCCAUCUUGAUGCCACAGUGCUCUUUAGGAGAUGCCAGAGAGGCCACAGUAUGGGGAACAGUGGUCUGAGGGCUGAGCGUUGUGCAGGGAGUGCAGGUGAGGAAUAUCCACCUGUGAAGCAGAGCUUGCAGAGCUCAGGAGGGAGAAAGAUGUUCAUCAGAAGAGCUGAGUGUGUGAAGCCUUGGCUCAGUGGGUCAAGACUCAGCAGCUUUGGCAGGUUUUUGAGAGGAGUCUUGUGCUGUGGGUUAAAGAAAACCAGGGGAAUAGAGGAAAACAUAACUCUCCUUCUAUGUAGUAUGGGGAAGGAGAGAGUUUAUCUUCCUUCCUUUUACUUCAUUCUUUUCUGGAUCUGCUGUGAGGCUUUUUUCUUGUCCUCAGACACCAAUGUUUAUUAAUAUCAGUUAUGUUAUUAGUAACAAUAAUUUUAAAAUAUUAUUAAUAUCAAGUCAUAGUAUCUGUUUCUCUUUGCAGAACUAAAGGCAGAAGGAACUCAAGUCUGCAUAGAGAAGUGACACUGGAGAUGCUAUCAGCUCUUCUCUUUUUACCACUUUCCCAAUUUUUCCCCCCUUCUCCAUUCUCUCCCCCAACCUUCUCCAUUUUCCCCCACUUCUCCAUUUAUUUCCCCUCUCCAAAACUUGCUGUACCGGGGUUACUGGAGGCCACUGACGUGGGGUCCCACAGGCAAGCAGGUGGGUUGUAGAAGCCCAGUCUGGGUUACACUUGAGUCCUGGCUUAACAAAAAGCCACAGAGUCAAACACAGAUGACCCGGGGAGGCACUUCCAGCGUGUCCUGGGGGAAUUUGGUCACUGUGGGAGAACAGGUUGAGUUCAAGACUCAUUUGCCCAGAGCCCAAACUCGUGUGGCUUAGUGAUAGCAGCAUGAGUGGAUCGGAUAGGUGGAGAGGCAUGAGAAGAAGCUUUGGGUUCCUCACUGAGGAGCCUAAGCCAGUCUGACUUGCCCAGCGCCUGUGGUAGACAGAAGGGAGAUCCUGAUCCAGGGUGGGCAGUGGCCAAGUGACUGAAAGGAUGAGUAUGCCCACAGUCUCAGCACACUGCUGGGGCAUGCAGGGCAUGGCUAUGUCCCUGCUGAUGUUUGCCUUCAUGGAGUGGUGAGGCAGAGGCACAGGCAAGGAGGGAACAUGCCUCAGAUGGAAAAUGUUAUGUAUUAGGGCCAUGUGUUGUAGUGGCUGGGCUUCCCAGAGAGAGGGACAGUGGUACCUGGAUGCACAACGGGGCUCUUGUGUUUAUGUGCUUUGGUGAUCAGCAAGCUCCUUGCAAAUGUGCAAUAUUGGGAAAUAAUAAUCCAAAUUGCCCUGGCCACCUGAUCUCCACUGGCUCUUAAUCCUCACUAAUCCUCUUGUCUAGAGCCUGAAGGCUCCUAGAUACUCCUGAUUACCAGGACUCUGUGGGGACAAUGGAGAUGCUUACAACCUUAUUCACCUUUUCCAUCUCUUCCUCUGUCUUCUCCACUAGGGUUCUUUGCUCUUUGGCUGUGUUUCUCCCUUGCUGCAGCACCUCACCUUCCUGCUUGGCUGGCCUGGGGAAGAAGCCACCCAUUGCUAGUACAUGUUGCUUUGCUUGCCUUCAUUUGCUAAGGCCCUUCUCUCCCCAGCUAACGUGCUGAAGAUAACAUAUCUCUCCCUCCCUUUGCCUUGCUUCCCUUUCCCCUUCAUUGCAUGUGUUUCUCUUUCUCUCCAUCCCUGUGACUGAAACUUGGCAGGAAAUUUAAGAGACAUGCUCAGUCGUUAAAAUGACUACCCCAAGGAAAGGCCAGAGCACAGCCUACAGCAGCAAAGGGGGGGUGGGGAUGGGCGCUCAGCUGAUGCCCAUCAUUUCCACAUCCUCUUGCUAGCAAUGGCCCCACUGAACCAGCAGCGCUUGCCUGCCCGGGUGGGAGAUGGGAUCUCCUGGAACAACCUGCUUGAUGCUCGCGCCCUGGCUUUUGGGUUGGAAGAUGGGUGGAAGUAAGUGCUUCUUUAGCAUUUGGGGAGUCCCUGGGAGGGGGGAUAAAUGGGAAGCAGCAUCUGGAGGUUCAGGGGAAGAUCCCUUGCCCUGGGCUCUGGAACAGCAUGCUGGUGUUAAAUGGUGGUGCUUGGGUACGUGUGUGCAUGUCUGGUGUGUUUGCACGUACGUGUCUGUUAACACAGUGGGAUGCUGCUCAGGCAGUUACAUGUACCAAUCAAGCAUGCUCUCUGUGGGCAGAAGUUUUGUCUUUCCUCACUGCUCCAUCCUUCUCUGUCUUGGUGUUUCAUCCCUGUUCAGAGCCACAUGAUCAGCUCUGAGCCCCAAAAUGACAGGACAGGACGCAAAACAGGGAACAAUUUGAAAAGUGCAUGGCCUCAAGCAAGGGAGCACUGUGGCCUUGUUGGUAGCUUGAAGAGGGAGUCAGGGCAAUGUGAUAGUGGAAUGAAUGCUGUAAAGAAACCCAGACAGGCUUUGGUGUGUCACAGCUUUUAGUCUUGUGUAAAGGGGGCACAGGCUGAAAUGCAAAGGGACCAAACUCCAGGCAGAUAAAAGGGGUAGUUGUGCAACCCUCGAACCCAGCUGAACAAUGAAGUGCAGAACACAUGUAAUUUUUUUAAUGACCAACAAGCAGUAAUAGCCAAUUGCUUUAUAAAGUGCCCCAGGUGGUGCUCUUUAGCCACUGGACCCAGGACCUCCAGGGACUUUGGUCAGUGUCAGAUUCUCAGGGCUGAGUGCCUGGCUGUGGCAAUGAGGAACUGGAUGCAUGAAGGCAGAAGAAGGCCCACACAGAGCAAGGGGUGCCAUGUGGAGCAGAGGGUAGGAUUUGCACAGAGUUGCAUUGCUGGACCUGGUGCUCUGUGACCCUGAUACUGUUUUCCAGAGUGAUAGGAAGGCAGGACACCAUGAUAGAUGAGACCUUCUGUGUCUGUUUGGUGAGAAACAGGCUAGCAAUCUGUGACUGGGUCUGGAAUGGCAAGAGAAGGGUUUGUGGUUGUUGGCUGGAUCAUGCCCUCUUCAACUUCAUUCCAUCUUGGUGCAGCUCUGGUGGCAUUUUUACAGCGUGGAGUCACUGGAUCUGGUUGUAUAACAGCUCUGGGCAAGGAUGGGCUUUGAUGAGCUGUGGUUUUGUUCCUGCAGCUUCCCCAUGAGAUGUCUUUCAAGCAACAUUCAAGCUUUGUCUUGGGACAGUGCAGAUGCAAGACACCAUUAGGUCUAGAGCAGAUGUAAGGCAAAGUCACAGCUGUUCCCAGCUAAGACUGCCCCAUCUUGGUCUUGGUGGAAGUGAGGCGAUGUAAGCAACCUGUUCAGAACAGGUAUUUGGGAAUCCCUGCCUGGAUAAGGCAGAUCUUAGGAAUGACAGGAACAGGCAAUCUUCAUAAGGCAUCCUGUCCUCUCAUUCUUCAAACACAUGGAUGUUGGCCAGACCACAUGAGGUUGGCUCGUCACCACUCAUAGUGUAAAAAGUGCCUCACGGGUUCUGUUAGGAAAUCUCUGGUGUCCCCUGUGUGGGAUCUUGGGCAGCCUCAGCUCCCUUAUUGACUUCAGCGCACCACCAGCAUGCUUUAAAGGAAGCCAAACUGGAACGCUAGAUGUGAUGGCUCUUGGAAGCCACCAUCUCCUGAGCGGAAAGGAGCUUUAUGAGCGUUACUGGAAGCUGCUGUGGCUGAGUUACCAGAAAUAAACCACUUCGAUUUGAGGCCAAGUGCUCACAGACCACUGCACUUCCCACUCUGGUAGCUGGGCCACCUUCCUAAUGCUUUUGCUUCUCAGUAGGGAGAUAUUCUGUAAAUGCCACCCACUGCUCUUGCUGAAUUAAGUGGGUGGCAAUGAGGCAGGAAGAGAAAGGUGGGUGCCUUUCUGAAGGCUUCUGUUAGCACAGAUUAUUUUUUCUUUUUUUAGUAGAAGCGCCUUUGUGGGAACUUCUGGGUUUAAAAAGAAGUAGCAAGAAUAGCUCGUUUUAAUUCACAGGCAAUUGCAAGGCUGGGGAGCAGGGGGUGGCUGGAAUGAGAGGGCUCUGCCCACUGUCCGGGAGCAGAGGAUGUGUCCCUGGAGAGUCAGAGAUGCCUCAAACGGAGGCUUUGAACACAUGGGGCUGGCCGGAUAAGUGGCCCUUAGCCAACACAUCCCCGCUAGUCUCCUGCCUGUCUUUGAUUUUAAUUAAACUGCAAAUAUGACACACGAACUACGUGUUAACCUGCUCCCCAUUGGGAAGCACGGGGACUGAUGCCUACACAGCCCCUAGCAGCUUUCUUUUCCCACCUCCCCAGAAGAAGGGAGCAGUGACCCAUCAGCCCUGACUCCAGUGGGAGACUGAGGCAAGGAGGGCCUUGCCUGUUGCAUGCAGAGGAGGUAGUCACAAAUCCGUGUUUUCUCCUCCAUGGGAAUACCUGGUGAAGGGGCAAAGGCUGAGAAUGAUGUUCAAAGUUUCUUUGGGCCUCAGGGCAAAAGCUAUGACUGAUACCAUCUCUGUGUACGGAUGGAGCACCAUCUGACAGUUUGGGGCUCCUGAUAAUUUCCUUUGCUAAGUCUCUGAGUUUUGAGGAGGCAAAGAACCUGCUACGAGAUCCACUUGGCCAAUGCUGGGAGCUGCCUUCUCCACCAAGCUCCCUUCUCAAGGGCAGGGUUUUUUGAUGGAAAGAAAGUGGCAAGAGCCUUCUUUGGCUGAGUCUGAGAACCUGUUACCUGUUACCAUGUCUACCCUGCUGUGCUAUGAAUGCAGCCAGCCCUGCCUGCAGCACGGCCAACACACCGAACCCGCCAACUUGGCCAGGAUCCUAACCCCAAAUUACACAGCUGGUUGCCAGGCAGUGCCUGGUUUUCUGCCCUGCAGUCCAGGGGAAGGAAUGCGGGCAGCUCUGCGUACUGAGGCUAUUGAUGCUGUGGUGGUGGUCAGCCCCUCUUGGAGCUGAUUGCCAGCCUUGCCACGGGUUGGGAAUCAGCACGAACCCUUCCCCAGGGGUGUCAUGUGGUUCCAGCUUGGAUGUGUAAUGCAGUGACCCCGGACUGGGGCAGUGGCUGGCUCUGGGGUGGAUUGAGGUGAUGCUGGAGGGUAUUACUGUGCCAAUUUGUGUCUCAUGCUUGGUGUAACAUCUGGUAGCUUACCAUGCGUGUGGGGCUGCUGUACCACACAACGUCAUCUUGUGGAGCUUGGAGGAUGGUCCCCAGCCUGGGGUCUACCAGACCACAUUGUUUGCACAUGACCUGCUCCUUCUUAUGUCCCUUCUUUCCUGAAUCCCUCAGAGGCCUGUGAAGAGCAGGUCUUGGGCUCUGCAAAUGGUUCCUGCAACUGACAGCCUGCCUUUGUUCUUCCCCAGUCUAUUCCCUGUGACAAGGCCAGCAGUGCACGAACAGAGGGCUGUUUUUCUCCAUUGCCUGGGGAGUGCAGGCUGUACUGUGUGUUGGGAAUGGUCAUGGGUGUUGGGAUGGGGGCUGACUUCUUGUCAUAGAGCAAGAGAGAGGCCAGGGCAAGGAGGGAUUUCCUUACCCUUGAACCAGCAGAAGGUGGCAGAUGUUUUAUCUUCAUUCCAAAAGAUCCCAGGAUAGACCCAGUUAUGUCCUGGCAGAUGACAUAGCAACAUGGUGAAGGGGUGCUAUCCACAUAAAAAUGUGCUUCUCUGGUGUGGUUGUUUCCAUACUGUUGCUGAGCUGUGAAGUUCCCAAGAGCCCAAGAGUGGAGGAAAAUACUCAUGCUCCGUUCCCGGCUGGGUCGUGCAGUGCGUGUGUCAGCACUGUGGGUGCAAUCAGUUUUCGUCUGGUCAGUGAGUUUCUUCCGUUGUUUGGGUGGGCCUUGCACAAGCCUUUGGGGGAGAGUGAAAGCUUUUUUAGAAAGUGGAAUAUAUGACUGUGAAACCACAAGAGUGACGGAGGGUCUCAGGCGUGGGUAGGAGAGCAAAAACAACUCCUGGAUUUCAGGAUAUUAGUCACCAUCACUAUCGCUUUUCUGGCGUGCUGCUCCCUGCUACCCACCUUUUGUCAUUGUUCUAAUUCUCCAUGAAUCACACAGGGUUUUGGGAAGACCAUGCUUCCCUUACUCUCUGUACCAUUCAUAGUGCCUUGCGGCUGCUACUGUGACAUAAAAAAAUGUUAGUAAAAUAACCACAACACACUCAUUUUGGAAGCAGAUGAGAAUUCAAAUUGACAGUUUCCUCUCUAUACUUACGAGUAAAGCCACAGGUCCUGAAAAAGCUCCAGCUGGUAUGAGGCUUAGCACGCGUAAGUGUCCAUGAAUAUUUGAGGUAUGAUAUUAGGAAAAACUUUCUAACUGUCAGGCUAGUUAAUGCUGGAGCAGCCUAAGGGUGCAAUGGGAGAUGCUUCCUGUGGUGUUUUCAGAGAGGCUUAGAUGGUGCUGGUGAUGCCUCAGUGGGAUCCCUUUCACAUCUACACCUCCAGGAUCAAUGCUACUUUCCAUCCUGGAAAACAAAGUCCUGUUCAGUGUCUCUGUUUUUAGACCUGCGAGCUCUCUGAUAGCCAAGGUGAGCUCACAGAAGGAACUGCAGCCAUCCAUGGCUGUCCUCUCCAAGAGGUCAGCCGUGUCAGCGACUGAAACGGCUCCUGGAGGAGGGCUACAGGAGACAAAAUAGGGGAGCAGAGUAAAAGUGACAAAAAUAUGGUCAAAGUUGUGAUGCCAGUUACAUGCUGCAGGAGUUCCUGGAAGGGCUCCCUGGCAGAGGCACAAGUUGUGCCGUACAGCUCAGCACAAUAUCAACCCCAGGAACUGCAGCUCUGUCAUGGAAAGGCAGCAAGCCACACCGCACCUAGGCAUGACAGAAGGGGCACUGGACUGAGCUCACCUGCCCAUGCAGCCCGUUACUGGGUGAGCGUAUCCAGUCUCUUACCAAAAGCCUGGAGGCAAAAGAUUUGCUCUGGCAUCCCAGACACCAUCAUGCUUCCAAGAAGGAAACCAAUUAGUGUUAUUUUUGGUUUAUUUAAGAUGCUGGGGUAGGCAGUAUCAUGUAGAGCACAAAAACAAAGGGAGGUAGUCCUUCACACAGCCAUUGGGUAAGCAUCAGGAUGUGGUGGAUGUUAAAAAUCUCUGACCUCUGAAGAUGACUGGUCAGACUGAUGGAGAAAAAGUCCCUCAAGGACUGUUAGAUAUGGAGGCAGCCUCUGGCCCAAGAAGUCCUGAACUGCAAUCAGCCUUGGAGAGUGUGCGGAGGCAAUAUCACUGUUG